UGCAGCCUUGUCAAAUUCAGUGUCUUCUGAAAGUGGACGUCACUGGCCAAAAUGGCUGCCACAGUAACUGUCGUUCAUGGGCCCUGCCUCCCCGCAUCAAGUGGGGAUAAAUAUGUGCUGCAGACAUUA
ensembl:snoRNA